UCAGCUUCAAAUCAUAAACCAUCAACAGAUUUCUCCAUUUGCUCUUUUCACAAAAUAACUCAAAUCUGCCAUUUCUCACUGCACAUCAUCAAUCGGUAAUUUUAAUAACUUUUGUAAAGUUAUUUCAUUUCAAGCAUAUCAAUAGUUUUCUUCAUUUUCGCCAAAACCAAGGCUAAACAGCAAAAACUUUGUUUUCAAAAAUCCAAUCAUGCAUACAUCUAUUUUUCUGUAAUUUUAUAUAUAUUGCUAAUUACAUGAAAAAGAAAAUAGAAAUAGAAGAAGAAAAAGGGGAAAUAGUGGGUGAGUGGCUGCUGCCGAUCCGGGAAAACGAAAGGGAACCGACUGAAAAGCUGCGCCGUGCGCUGUUGCUGGCGGAGGGCGGCGACCGGCGGACGGAAUCAGGGGGAGUUGGCUAGUAGGCGUCGCUGGGCGCUGCCGCGCCACGGCGGCCGGCGAAGAUGGGCAGGGAGGCGGCGACGGCGGUUGGGCGGCACCAGAUCUGGAAAGGGGGAAGGCGGCCUGACCGACUGUUGCUGUCGACGCGGCGGCAGGGCACCAAGAGGGAGCCGAGAAGAGGAGGAGAAGGAUGGGGGGGUGGUCG
rnacentral:lncRNA from 1 species